UACGUAGGUGACAAGCGUUGUCCGGAUUUACUGGGCGUAAAGCGCGCGCAGGCGGCGGUAUAAGCAUGGCGUGAAAGCCCCAGGCUCAACCUGGGAGGGUCGUCGUGGACUGUACCGCUUGAGGGCGGUAGGGGCUGGUGGAAUGCCUGGUGUAGUGGUGAAAUGCGUAGAGAUCAGGCGGAACACCCGUGGCGAAGGCGGCCAGCUGGGCCGUCCCUGACGCUGAGGCGCGAAGGCGUGGGGAGCGAACGGG
rnacentral:rRNA from 1 species